UUUUCGGACAACGGAAGGUGAGGACAGUGGCGGACGGGUGAGUAACGCGUGAGGAACCUGCCCUGAAGCGGGGGAUAACAUCUGGAAACAGGUGCUAAUACCGCAUAACAACGAAAACCACAUGGUUUCGUUUCAAAGAUGGUUUCGGCUAUCACUUCAGGAUGGGCCCGCGGUGCAUUAGCUAGUUGGUAAGGUAACGGCUUACCAAGGCGAUGAUGCAUAGCCGAGUUGAGAGACUGAUCGGCCACAAUGGAACUGAGACACGGUCCAUACUCC
rnacentral:rRNA from 1 species